GCCUCUGUGAUGAAAUGGUAGACAUAGCGACUUCAAAAGUCGCCGCUUCACAGCUUGUCGGUUCAAGUCCGACCAGAGGCA
rnacentral:tRNA from 1 species